rnacentral:rRNA from 1 species
UACGAAGAGGGCUAGCGUUGCUCGGAAUCACUGGGCGUAAAGCGCACGUAGGCGGCUUUCUAAGUCAGGGGUGAAAUCCUGGAGCUCAACUCCAGAACUGCCUUUAAUACUGGAGAGCUUGAGUUCGGGAGAGGUGAGUGGAACUGCGAGUGUAGAGGUGAAAUUCGUAGAUAUUCGCAAGAACACCAGUGGCGAAGGCGGCUCACUGGCCCGAUACUGACGCUGAGGUGCGAAAGCGUGGGGAGCAAACAGG